GAUGAACGCUGGCGGCGUGCCUAAUACAUGCAAGUCGAGCGAACAGACGAGGAGCUUGCUCCUCUGACGUUAGCGGCGGACGGGUGAGUAACACGUGGAUAACCUACCUAUAAGACUGGGAUAACUUCGGGAAACCGGAGCUAAUACCGGAUAAUAUAUUGAACCGCAUGGUUCAAUAGUGAAAGACGGUUUUGCUGUCACUUAUAGACGGAUCCGCGCCGCAUUAGCUAGUUGGUAAGGUAACGGCUUACCAAGGCGACGAUGCGUAGCCGACCUGAGAGGGUGAUCGGCCACACUGGAACUGAGACACGGUCCAGACUCCUACGGGAGGCAGCAGUAGGGAAUCUUCCGCAAUGGGCGAAAGCUUGACGGAGCAACGCCGCGUGAGUGAUGAAGGUCUUCGGAUCGUAAAACUCUGUUAUUAGGGAAGAACAAAUGUGUAAGUAACUAUGCACGUCUUGACGGUACCUAAUCAGAAAGCCACGGCUAACUACGUG
rnacentral:rRNA from 1 species